rnacentral:rRNA from 1 species
AGCGAACGCUGGCGGCAGGCCUAACACAUGCAAGUCGAACGGACCCUUCGGGGUUAGUGGCGGACGGGUGAGUAACACGUGGGAACGUGCCUUUAGGUUCGGAAUAACUCCUGGAAACGGGUGGUAAUGCCGAAUGUGCCCUUCGGGGGAAAGAUUUAUCGCCUUUAGAGCGGCCCGCGUCUGAUUAGCUAGUUGGUGAGGUAAUGGCUCACCAAGGCGACGAUCAGUAGCUGGUCUGAGAGGAUGACCAGCCACAGUGGGACUGAGACACGGCCCAAACUCCUACGGGAGGCAGCAGUGGGGAAUCUUGCGCAAUGGGCGAAAGCCUGACGCAGCCAUGCCGCGUGGAUGAUGAAGGUCUUAGGAUUGUAAAAUCCUUUCACCGGUGAAGAUAAUGACUGUAGCCGGAGAAGAAGCCCCGGCUAACUUCGUGCCAGCCGCCGCCGUAACAC